GCAGUUAUGGCGGAACUGGUAGACGCGCUAGACUUAGAAUCUAGUGGGGAGACCCGUGCAGGUUCAAGUCCUGUUAACUGCACCA
rnacentral:tRNA from 1 species